rnacentral:lncRNA from 1 species
CAGAGUCUUACUCUCUCACCAGGCUGGAGUGCAGUGGUACAAUCUUGGCUCACUGCAACCUCUACCUCCCGGGUUCAAGCGAUUAUCCUGCCUCAGCCUCCCAAGUAGUUGGGACCACAGACAAUUUCAAGUUUAUUCUGCUUCAGCUGUCAUAGUGGCAACCCGCACUAAGAGUUUGUCACCAAACUCUCAUCGUUAAGCUUGGAAUGUCUUCAAGUACAAAUGGUUAUGCAAUUUGGGAAUUACCAGUUUAUUUUCCAAGAAGGUAAGAUGCAUCCUGUUGGUGAAUGCAGGACAACCUGGCGGGCCAGGUGCAUAAAUCUUUGACUUCCCCACCAUGACGAGGUUUGGAUAAGACUUCAACCCAGUGAUGGCCAAUGAGACUGGAUGGUGCAGUCUACAAAUAUUCCACUAGCUUGUGGUGGAAUAAAUCAGUGUUGUGUAUUUUCUUUGGUCUUUUCUUCUCGGUGCUCAUGUGAAUGUGCCUAUCUGUUCUAAAACCAGGUCAUUAAAAAUAUGUCAAUAUUUUAAACAUUAAAUAUUUAAAUCUGUUAUAAUUACACAAAUUUACAUGGUUUACAUAGGUUUAUUCUUUUUUUCUUGUUGUUUGUUUUUUUGAGACGGAGUCUCGCUCUGUCACCCAGGCUGGAGUGCAAUGGCGCGAUCUCGGCUCACUGCAAGCUCCGCCUCCCGGGUCCACACCAUUCUCCUGCCUCAGCCUCUCCGAGUAGCUGGGACUAUAGGCACCCGCCACCACGCCCGGCUAAUUUUUUGUAUUUUUAGUAGAGACAGGGUUUCACCGUGGUCUCAAUCUCCUGACCUCGUGAUCUGCCCGCCUCGGCCUCCCAAAGUGCUGGGAUUACAGGCUUGAGCCACUGCGCCAGGCCCAUAUAGGUUUAUUUUUUAAUAUCUAUAAACUUUUUGCUUCUAGUUAGUUCACAGCAGAGGGCAGACUCAUUCUUUUUUGUAACUUAAAGAGUCAAAUUGUUGAUAAAUUACACUUACAGAUAAUGUGCUCUUGAGUUUAUCGCACCUGAAAUUCUCCCAUUGACCUGUAUAUUUUUGGACAUGUAUGUGUACUACUAUAUAUGAAAUAUGAAAUAUAUGUAUCUUUGAUUCAUAUAUGUAUGUAUUCAUAUAUGAUAUGAAUCAUAUCAUUGAUAUAUGUAUGUAUAUGUGUGUAUAUAUAUAAAUAUAUAUAUACUAUUUGUAAUUUCUAUUAUUUUUUCAAGUGACUGUGUGCAUUUUAAAAUUAUUGUCUACUUAGUAUUCUGGAAAAAAAUUUAGAAGACUAAUGCUGUUACAUGCUAUUUUAGAGUGGUUAUGAUCAAAGUCAUAAAAUGAGAAAGUGGUGAACCAGGAUGCAAAUGGAACAUUGACAUACUAAUACAAUUUCACCUAAUGUAUGUAGCCAGAAGUCAGACACAGUCAAGAAGUUGGGAUUUGAAGAUAGAAAUUUUUAAGAGCAAAAGAAGAGACACUAUUCCAUGGAGUUUGCAUUGUGAGUUUAUGAAUGAAUGUAGAAAAUGGUAAUUUGGUCUCCUUCAUUCCUAUGGUAAAUGUCUUCAUUGAUCAUAGAAAAGAGGAUGUUAUUGGAUAUGUGUGUCCAGAUAGUCAUUUAGCUGAUUCUCCAAUCACCAGGCUUGUCACUACCAAUGAAUGAUCCAAAAAAGUUCCACCAUGUGACUGACCAGGCACCUAACACACACUAUAACUUUUGCUAGGAUGUGCAAUUUUGACUUAAGAUGUAGGCUGGGCUUCUACUCUCAUAUUGGCUGAAUCUAAGUAGCACCUGAACAUUGAUCCCAAAGAGAUGAACCCUACUGAAUGUCUUUGUGAAAAAAUGGUAGGGUAAAAUACAUGCAGCAGUACAGAACCUCCAGGCUGGAUGCUGUGGCUCAGGCCUGUAAUCCUAGCAGUUUGGAAGGCUAAAGUGGGAGGUGAGCUUCACUUGAGCUCAGGUGUUUGACACCAG